rnacentral:rRNA from 1 species
GUCGAGCGAACGGACGAGAAGCUUGCUUCUCUGAUGUUAGCGGCGGACGGGUGAGUAACACGUGGAUAACCUACCUAUAAGACUGGGAUAACUUCGGGAAACCGGAGCUAAUACCGGAUAAUAUUUUGAACCGCAUGGUUCAAAAGUGAAAGACGGUCUUGCUGUCACUUAUAGAUGGAUCCGCGCUGCAUUAGCUAGUUGGUAAGGUAACGGCUUACCAAGGCAACGAUGCAUAGCCGACCUGAGAGGGUGAUCGGCCACACUGGAACUGAGACACGGUCCAGACUCCUACGGGAGGCAGCAGUAGGGAAUCUUCCGCAAUGGGCGAAAGCCUGACGGAGCAACGCCGCGUGAGUGAUGAAGGUCUUCGGAUCGUAAAACUCUGUUAUUAGGGAAGAACAUAUGUGUAAGUAACUGUGCACAUCUUGACGGUACCUAAUCAGAAAGCCACGGCUAACUACGUGCCAGCAGCCGCGGUAAUACGUAGGUGGCAAGCGUUAUCCGGAAUUAUUGGGCGUAAAGCGCGCGUAGGCGGUUUUUUAAGUCUGAUGUGAAAGCCCACGGCUCAACCGUGGAGGGUCAUUGGAAACUGGAAAACUUGAGUGCAGAAGAGGAAAGUGGAAUUCCAUGUGUAGCGGUGAAAUGCGCAGAGAUAUGGAGGAACACCAGUGGCGAAGGCGACUUUCUGGUCUGUAACUGACGCUGAUGUGCGAAAGCGUGGGGAUCAAACAGGAUUAGAUACCCUGGUAGUCCACGCCGUAAACGAUG